rnacentral:rRNA from 1 species
UACAGAGGUCCCAAGCGUUGUUCGGAUUCACUGGGCGUAAAGGGUGCGUAGGCGGCCUGUUAAGUCGAACGUGAAAUCCCCGGGCUCAACCCGGGAACUGCGUCCGAUACUGGUAGGCUUGAAUCCGGGAGAGGGAUGCGGAAUUCCAGGUGUAGCGGUGAAAUGCGUAGAUAUCUGGAGGAACACCGGUGGCGAAGGCGGCAUCCUGGACCGGCAUUGACGCUGAGGCGCGAAAGCCAGGGGAGCAAACGGG